UGUCGGCGUGGUGGGAUACCGAGGGGUUCUGACGAUCGAGCCAGUUCCACCAUACUGGAGCCCCACCUGACCGAGCAUCUGUGUGCGCCGCAUGAGCAAUCUUGGGCGUUGUUGUCAGCAACUGCUGGGCAAUCAAAAGAUUUAACACUUCUUUUAGCUAUCACUGAAAGAAAAAGAAGACAGAAGGAUUGAAGUGGCAGCUGGCUUUGUAUUGAAAUGUUUGAUAUUAACUUGGAAGCUACUCAACAUAUGCAGCGUAAAGAACAAAGUUUGGUGGUACACUUAUCUAUAUUAAUCUGUGGUGUGAUGGUUGUUAGUAACUACUCUACUAGUAGGCCAUCUAUUCUCUUUUGUCAACUGCAGAUAAUGUUGAAAUCAUCUGCAUCUCUCUGUUCCUUUUAUUUUUAUUCUAAAAUGCCCACCUAAAAGCAUGACUAAUGAAAAAAGAAUGCGCGACCAAAAAUUUCUGCCCCUGCAAGUAUAAUGAUAUUAUCUAAUAAACUCCACUCUAGUUACUUAGUUUUUUCGUCACAAAAUCCAUUAAUUUAAUUAGAUUUUCGUUA